GUCUAUGGCCACACCACCCUGAACGUGCCCGAUCUCGUCUGAUCUCGGAAGCUAAGCAGGGUCGGGCCUGGUUAGUACCUGGAUGGGAGAUUUCAGAUUUAGACA
rnacentral:rRNA from 1 species